CCUACGGGGCGCAGCAGUGGGGGAUAUUGGACAAUGGGGGGAACCCUGAUCCAGCGACGCCGCGUGAGUGAAGAAGUAUUUCGGUACGUAAAGCUCUGUCAGCAGGGAAGAAAGCAAUGACGGUACCUGACCAAGAAGCCCCGGCUAACUACGUGCCAGCAGCCGCGGUAAUACGUAGGGGGCAAGCGUUAUCCGGAAUUACUGGGUGUAAAGGGAGCGUAGACGGCUGUGCAAGUCUGGAGUGAAAGGCGGGGGCCCAACCCCCGGACUGCUCUGGAAACUGGAUGGCUGGAGUGCAGGAGAGGUAAGCGGAAUUCCUAGUGUAGCGGUGAAAUGCGUAGAUAUUAGGAGGAACACCAGUGGCGAAGGCGGCUUACUGGACUGUAACUGACGUUGAGGCUCGAAAGCGUGGGGAGCAAACAGGAUUAGAUACCCCUGUAGUC
rnacentral:rRNA from 1 species